UACGUAGGUGGCGAGCGUUGUCCGGAUUUACUGGGCGUAAAGAGCGCGCAGGCGGUCGUCCAAGUCGCGUGUGAAAGCCCCCGGCUCAACUGGGGAGGGUCACGCGAUACUGAUCGACUCGAAGGCAGGAGAGGGUAGUGGAAUUCCCGGUGUAGUGGUGAAAUGCGUAGAUAUCGGGAGGAACACCAGUGGCGAAGGCGACUACCUGGCCAAAGACCGACGCUCAGGUGCGAAAGCGUGGGGAGCAAACAGG
rnacentral:rRNA from 1 species